GCGGCCAUGGUGAAAUUGGUAGACACAAGGGAUUUAAAAUCCCUCGCUUAAUAGGCGUCCCGGUUCAAUUCCGGGUGGCCGCACCA
rnacentral:tRNA from 1 species